AUCAGUUGCAGGUCUAAUAUACCCCAAGCAAUCGGUUGGAUAAUCACAAUGACUGGAGUGGUUCAAAUGUUUUGGACACUAGAUGUCUUUCUACUGCAUAAAAUUCAGAAAGCUAAGGAUUAUGGCGCUGUCACAAGCCCGUCUUUGGAUGAUCAUGGGUCGCCAGCUAGAUGGGCUUGAAGGUUAUGGGAUUGCAAGAUUUCCUAAUCGAUAAGUAUGUUGACGAAUAUCUACAGAAGGAUUUGUGCAGAUCGAAGCAUUAUUGUUGCCGUCUGUGUUUUGCUUCGUCCGCCGCUUGCAGCUUCAUCGCUCAUGUAUAUCUUUCGCUCUUUCUACAAGGUAUGCUAGCUCUUCCUCUAGAUUCCUUUACGGGUGCUUGGCCUGGUUGUCUGCAUGGUCUGGUGCACAUUGCAGUUCAUGUGUUUCUUGUAAUGUAUGUGAGGUGACGAUCCUGUUGUAAGAGCUUAGGCUGUCUUCUGGCUUCGGUGGCGCAUAGAAGUAGUACAAUGAACGAUUGCUUUCGAAUGACCAUCUUUCUUACAUAAAGAGUUAAAACUGGACAAUAGUAACUCUAAGAACAAGUAACUUGUACACAUGAUCAUUUCAUUUGUGAACUAGGUGACAAUAUAUUCAGGUUUCAGAAGUAGAACUAGAAUCUAGGGAACUAACCUAUAGGUUAUGAAAAAGGACCAGAUAGUUAGUUGCAUCUGAAGGAGCACACUGUUUCUUUCAUAUGAUAGUAUACCAUGUCCUGGUUCCAUGUCCCUGCCACUUUAGUGAUUUUCCUAUUUCAAUUAUUCCAUUUUUUCAUUUCUCAAUAUUUUGUUCUAGGACCCCACGUAUUUCUUACAUAAGAAACGGAAGAAGCAAGUACUCCCCAGGAUCCCAUGUAUUAAUUUUUGGGUGGAAAAUCCAUGCAUGUUCAAUUAUUAAUCAAGUCAUUAUUUUGUAACUUGAAUGUGUAGGUUCUUCACGAAUUUCAGUCAGGACAAUCUGCUGACCAUAUAAACAUCAGAUAUCGCGCCACAUGCCACUAGCUCAAGAAGAGUCGCACCUUGAAAAGUGCUACUCCGAAUACUACUGUUAUGUGGCCAAGAUGACAAUUGCGUGUUCCUAAAAUGAGAUGAUAUAGGUAGAAGCAUACUGGUUUGAUUAAACUAAUGUAAAGUUGGAAACUUGGUGUUUGUUAUCAUUCCCUUCUGUGCAUGUCCUCAGAAUAUCAAAAAUCCAGUUGUUGGUGUCAUUUGAAUUAUAUUUGUGUGAUUUAAAAAGGAAACCUUAUGAACCAAGUAGUGCGCUGAUGAGGUUAAUAGGUUUUUAUGGACGUAAGAGGGAUAAGGUAUUCUCUCCAUACCUAAUCAUUUAUUUCUUCAUAAGUACAUUCUUUUUGGUGAUUCUAAUUAUUUAAGUGUGCCCGUAUCCACUAUUUUACAUUAUGGGACAGUUGAUCAAACGAAAACACAAUCAGCUUGCUGCUUUGUGUGUGGCGUUAAAUACCAAAUUAUCUGCACUCUUUUAAAAUUUUGUACAGUUGGGGUAACAAAACCACAAUCAGUCUGUUACUUUGUGUUGGUUAAAUACCGAAAUCACUGCAGACAUAUCAUGAUUAGCUGCUAUGUUUUGUUUGUUUUAGUUUGAGAUCACAGGCCAUUAAUGGUUUCUAAAGAUAAUUUCACCAAGAAUAGAAGGUUGGUGAUUCAGAUCAGAGGUCAGUGCGAACAUCAAUCACUACGUACGUGUUCAGCAUGUAUUGUUUAAGUGUGACGAUUAAAUCAUCAUACUAACAAUCACAGUGAUGAUGUAGGGUAUUUCUUUUGGACAAAUAGCAUAGUAUUGUCCAUUUGAGCAUCAUAUAUGGUAGUGAUACAGUGAAUUAUCUGAUACACUCUUAUACAUAGCAUUACUGCUGGUGCAUUAUUUAGGUGAGGAAAGCUUUCACCAUUUAUUUCUCUUCAUAUGAUCAUUUGCUACUAUGGUCUUUUGAGCUUUGAACUUGUAUGCUUUUGUUGAUUGGGGUAGGUUCAAAUGCAUCGUUGUUAAGUUAGGCAUGUCUCCCAUCUAUGGCCUCUGCAUGUACAUACCCUGUUCUAUUCUAUUUUUUUCUUGGGUGUGCAUUUAUCUCUAUCUAGGUACAGUAUAUUUUUCGAGUGAUACCAAUCUAUAAAAGUUACAAGUUAUCCUUAUCUGCCCAUGGUUAGAUUUUCCAGACCUGGCAUGUUUGUGUAAUUAGAGAAGAAAUAUCUUCUUUUUUUUCACUCCUACCCGUGAAUCCUUGCUGACUUUUCAUUUUCAGCUGGUUUAUAGAUCCUAAUAAAAAUUUGCACAUAGGCUAGAGUUAACAUUUCACGCAUCGACUUGUCAUGGUCUGCUAGCUUACAAAAAAAUAUUUUUUCUGAUAUGAUCAUUGUUAACCUAUUUGGCAAUUCAUAACUAUGAAGCUUCAGCUACAUAUUCGGAACAAGGUUAUAUUGAGGCUUGGACAUACCAGAGAUUAACCUGUCGAGAAGCAUGUAUAUACCAGGAAACCGAAGAAACAGCCUAGAAGCAUGCGUCUUGUCCAGGACGAGCACUGCACCUGCAAUGGAAAAUAUAAGCCACGUAUCUAGCACUGCCACAUGUAUCUAUGUUAGCUUCAACGAAAAACACUUAGUUAAUAUGGAGCACUCCUGGUCUACUGUAAUAUUAACAAUCCCUCUGUAAUUGUAACAAGUUCCUCUCUUGGUUUGCUAUCAUGGCUACUAUAGAGGGAUAAUAGUGUUUUCAUACAAUGUUGAGUUUAAUGCUACACCAUAUGCUUCGAAUCGAUACAUGGAUAUAUAGAUCCAGCAUGACUCAAUCAUUCUUGUAAGUGCAUAUCAGUACAGUUAACUGGUGCUUGCUAUCACCCUACGAUGCAGACUUGAAUGUACUUACAUAUAGGUUCUUUUUUACAUGCAGACU